rnacentral:rRNA from 1 species
GACGAACGCUGGCGGCGUGCCUAAUACAUGCAAGUCGAGCGAAGUUUUUCUGGUGCUUGCACCGGAAAAACUCAGCGGCGAACGGGUGAGUAACACGUAAAGAACCUGCCUCAUAGACUGGGACAACUAUUGGAAACGAUAGCUAAUACCGGAUAACAGCAUUAACUGCAUGGUCGAUGUUUGAAAGUUGGUUUUGCUAACACUAUGAGAUGGCUUUGCAGUGCAUUAGCUAGUUGGUGGGGUAAAGGCCUACCAAGGCGACGAUGCAUAGCCGACCUGAGAGGGUGAUCGGCCACACUGGGACUGAGACACGGCCCAGACUCCUACGGGAGGCAGCAGUAGGGAAUCUUCCGCAAUGGGCGAAAGCCUGACGGAGCAACGCCGCGUGAGUGAAGAAGGAUUUCGGUUCGUAAAGCUCUGUUGUUAGGGAAGAAUGAUUGUGUAGUAACUAUACACAGUAGAGACGGUACCUAACCAGAAAGCCACGGCUAACUACGUGC